CACCGCGCUUGGUCCUGCAGCUGGACACAGCCCAGCCCUGCACAUACAGCCACCUCGGAGGAGUUCUCCAACUCUUGCUACCCUUGGAGAGGACCAUGCCAGCAGCCAUCGGUGCUUAGCACCUCAUAAAGGCAAUCAGCAACUUGCAGAUUCAUUACAGCUCUGCAGGCUGGAAAUGGGCUGGAGCAGCACGGGCUGUUUUCUUCGGGAGGUGAAACAGCCCAGGUGAGUCAGGGACCGGAUCCAAAAUAACCCAGGUAGUCUUCAGAACAGCAUCAGAAUUGUAUUAAAAAAUACCGAGCAGACCUUUUCUAAGACAGAUGGCACACAAUGAGGUUAAAAAAAGUAUCUUGAGAUCCAACCAGCAAGAACAAAAAA